UAGAGUUUGAUCCUGGCUCAGAACGAACGUUAGAGAGAUGUUUUAAGCAUGCAAGUCGAGCGGUAACUGCCUUCGGGUGUAGACGAGCGGCGAACGGGUGAGUAAUGAAAAGCUAUCUGCCCAUCAGACUGGAAUAGCCCAGGGAAACUUGGAUUAAUGCCGGAUAUGAGGAAACUUAAAAGGUGCGUUUGCAUCACUGAUGGAUGAGGCUUUUUCCUAUUAGCUUGUUGGUGGGGUAAUGGCCUACCAAGGUGAUGAUAGGUAGCCGACCUGAGAGGGUGAUCGGCCACAUUGGGACUGAGAUACGGCCCAGACUCCUACGGGAGGCAGCAGCUAAGAAUAUUCCGCAAUGGGGGAAACCCUGACGGAGCAAUCUCUCAUGGAUGAUGAAUGUCUUCGGAUUGUAAAAUCCUUUCGGUAAGGAAGAAUGUGUAGAGUAGGAAAUGGCUCUGCAUUGACGGUACUUGCAGAAGAAGUCCCGGCUAACUACGUGCCAGCAGCCGCGGUAAUACGUAGGGGGCAAACGUUGUUCGGAAUCACUGGGCGUAAAGGGUAUGUAGGUUGUUGAGUAAGUAAAAGGUGAAAUCCCAAAGCUUAACUUUGGAAUUGCUUUUUAUACUGCUUAACUAGAGUCUCUUAUAGAGGUAGUAGGAAUUCCUAGUGGAGGAGUAAAAUCUGUAGAUAUUAGGAGGAACACCAAUGGCGAAGGCAAGCUACUGGGUAGAGACUGACAUUGAGAUACGAAAGCUAGGGGAGCAAAUGGGAUUAGAUACCCCAGUAGUCCUAGCCGUAACGUUGUACACUAGUUUUCUGAUGCCUUUUAUGGUAAUGGGAAAUAAAGCUAACGCAUUAAGUGUACCGCCUGGGUAGUAUGCACGCAAGUGUGAAACUCAAAGGAAUUGACGGGGGCUCGCACAAGUGGUGGAGCAUGUGGUUUAAUUCGAUGAUACGCGAAAAACCUUACCUAGGCUUAAACGUGUAAUGAUCGGUAAUGAAAGUUACUUUCUCUUCGGAGCAUUAUGCGAGAUGCUGCAUGGCUGUCGUCAGCUCGUGUUGUGAAAUGUUGGGUUAAGUCCCGCAACGAGCGCAACCCAUGUUUUAUGUUGCUAACUAUUCUUCGGAAUAGAGGACUCAUAAAAUACUGCCCGGGUUUAACUGGGAGGAAGAUGUGGAUGACGUCAAGUCCUCAUGGCUCUUACGUCUAGGGCUACACACGUGCUACAAUGGGAUGUACAAAGAGUCGCAAUACCGCGAGGUGGAGCAAAUCUCCAAAACAUCUCUCAGUUCGGAUUGUAGUCUGCAUCUCGACUACAUGAAGUUGGAAUCACUAGUAAUCACAGAUCAGCAUGCUGUGGUGAAUACGUUCCCGAGCCUUGUACACACCGCCCGUCAAACCACCUAAGUUGGUUUUACCCGAAGUCGUUGUAUCAACCAGCAAUGGAGAAAGAUGCCGAAGGUAAAAUUGAUAAAGAGGGUUAAGUCGUAACAAGGUAACCA
rnacentral:rRNA from 1 species